rnacentral:snRNA from 1 species
AGCUUUGCGCAGUGGCAAUAUGGUAGCCAAUGAGGUUUAUCCGAGGCGCGAUUAUUGCUAAUUGAAAACUUGUCCCAAUACUCCGCCAUGACAACUUGAAAUAUAGUCAGCAUUGGCAAUUUUUGACAGUCUCUACGGAGA